rfam:Cochliobolus heterostrophus C5 unplaced genomic scaffold COCHEscaffold_5, whole genome shotgun sequence.
UUCAAUGAUGAUACGGCACUGGGCUCCGACAAUUCUUGACGGAUACGCCUUUUAUGGCAGGCCUCAGAAACCUCGCCGAACUGAUC